AUUGCCUGGGAAACUAAGUCACGUGAGAACCUGAGGUCUCUAGGUGCCAGAACCUGACCUGAGCUGGGGCCUGUGCUUCCAGUGGGUGGUGGGGAGCCUGGUGUGCUGGCAUCAGGUAAGCGGACUGCCUCGGCAAAGGCUUAAGGACAAGAGACCGGCAGCCUGAACUGGCUGGGGCAUCCGGAAAGCUUAGAUCUUGUGGCCAAGAGGUCAGACCUGGCGAAGUGGAGAGUGACAUGCAGUUGGAUGGUGGUGACUGCGUGGUCCCACAACCCAGGUUCCAGUCUGGCAAGCAUUCUAGACCUGGCUGCUGAAGACUGACGGGGUCCAGGGUCUGCUGCCCCCACCGCCUUCACCACCUCAGAACCCAGGGUAACGCUGUCAGUCUCUGUUCACAGGUUUCGUGACAGGGCUGCAGAGCUUUGACGUCGUCGCUUACUCCUGGUGGCAAGGAUCAUCCCUUCCAAGAUGGGUACCCUGGGUUGCCCCCUUCCUAGAACCCCUGAUCUUCCUCUUCCUGUUACUAAUGAUUGGGUCAUGCAUAUUUAACCUUGUAUCCCGCUUCAUUUCCCAAAGACUGAAUUCUUUUAUUCAGGCAAGCAUGCAAAAACACAUUGAUAAUAUCCUUCACCUUUGCUACAUCUAAUACCAGAGCCUACAAGGAAGCCAUUCGGAAGCUCCAGAACCCAGGCCCUAAUCACGGUGCCCCUAUCCAGCAGGAAGCAGCCAGAUGAUCAACGACGCCCUUUUUCCUUUUUAUACUAAAGUAAGAAAUAAGAAUGUUAGCCCAAGCUGCACUAUUUUGCAGACCCCCACCAUUUUACAAACUGGUCAGAGUGGAAAAUUCCACCAGGGCCUGAGCUGUGAGAAACAUCCUGUCAGAGAGGUCCCAGGCCUAACCCCUGACUGCACUAAAUUCCUUCAUUAUCAGCAUCCAAACACACCGCCCCCACCCCAUUUUCACAACAAUCCCAGACCUCUCCUGCCCGGACCUAUAACUGGUCCAGCCUGUAAGUGGGAAGGGGGCUCUGGCACUAGCUGGUACCCUCUCUCCGCAGGUCUUUCUCCCAAUAAAUCUGUGUUGCCAUUGA